GAUCAUGCUCAGGAUGAACGCUGGCGGCGUGCUUAACACAUGCAAGUCGAACGAAGCACUUUAUUACAAUUUCUUCGGAAUGACGAUUUAGUGACUGAGUGGCGGACGGGUGAGUAACGCGUGGGUAACCUGCCUUAUACAGGGGGAUAACAGUUAGAAAUGACUGCUAAUACCGCAUAAGCGCACAGGAUUGCAUGAUCUGGUGUGAAAAACUCCGGUGGUAUAAGAUGGACCCGCG
rnacentral:rRNA from 1 species